AACUAAUGCCCAGUGAUUUUCAUUGAAUGAGGAAGUAUUUUUGUUCCAUGUUAUUUCUAGAUAUCAUAGGGCUAUCGUUGUUAUUUCAAAGAUUGUUCUGAAAAAGAAGAUAGUAGAUCGAAUUGUUCCAAUUCGAAUAAAUAGUCAUAGAGUAUAGUCUCGUGCAAAUGUCAUAACAAAGUUAACGAAUUCGAAUAUAAAGUGGUUUAAAGGGGGCAAAACGAGAAAAUACAAUAAGAAUAAUGGAAAUUACAUGCGUUAUUUGUAGUGAUUUAUUCACUCAUAAUUCUGAGAUGGUUUUAAAUCAAUGUGGUCAUAUGUUUCAUUAUAGUUGUCUCAUACAAUGGUUAGAAAGAUCAAAAACUUGUCCUCAGUGCCGAUGUAGGACUACCGAAAAAUCUCUUAAUAGGGUGUAUUUCAAUUUUUUGAAUACUGAACAUAUCAAAGAUAAUGUAGGUACACUUCAAGCCAAAUUAGAUAGUGCUAACUAUAGAAUUCAAUCGCUUAGUAAAGAUUUAAAGGACUUGACUGAAGCAGCAGAUUCAAAGGAAGCUCAAAAUAUUAAAUUGAAAGAGCUAGUUUCUAGUUUAGAAAAGAAAAUAAGAUCAUAUGAAUCUGCCAUAAAUGGUCUAAAAGAUAAAGCAAGCGUGUAUAAACACAGAGCCUGUGAAGCUGAUAGGUUGCAGUGUGAAGUAUCAAGCUUGAAAUCUGCUUUGCAAGAUAUGGAAAAAGUACAAACUGCAAUCAAUGGCACCAGAGCUGAAGUAACAGAGAUAUUGAGAAAUGAGACCAGUAUAGAAGCUUUAGCAUUAUUAUCAGCUACAUUGAAAAAGUCAUUGAUAGAUAAAGAACAUAAAUCAGGAAUAAUGCAAAACCGAUUAAAGCAAUCACAAAAUGAACUGAUGAGAUAUAAGAGAGAGUGUAAUAAUUUAGAAUCAAUAACUUCAGAUCUCAGAAAAGAAAUAGAAGUUAGUAAAAAGUCAUGGGAGGAGGAAAAAAAAUACUUCAGGCAAAAAAUAGAAGAUCUUGAUAAUUUGUUAAAUGAAAAAAAUUCAGAAACAACAAAAAAUAUGGAUCAUAGUGUUCACAGGAUAUUGACGGAAAGUCCGGCACCUUUACCAAAGAGAAAACAGGAAAGGAAAAUAGAAGAUUCGCAAUAUAAAGGUUCUCCAUCUGUGGCUGAAAAUGUUAUGGCCAUAAUAGAGUCGGAUUCACCUUACCUCAAUAUGAAAACCAAUUAUUCGUCCAUAUUUAACGCGCGAUAUUCAACAACGCUGAACACAAAAAAGAACAGUGCUCGCUUCUUUCCUAAUGAUGUUCUUUUUGCGGACCACUGGCAAUUUUUGAAUAAGUACCUUUAAAAAUUUUCAAUGAAUCCAUUUUCUCAAAUGGAAUGCCCUGAAUUUUUUUUGCCUGUCGAAUAGCCUAUCAAUAUUUAAACCUCAGACUUCACUAUCUCCCACAUCAAGACCGAAUACCACAGAAAAUGUGUACACUGGACUGGGUGGACAAGUCAAGGAAGAGUUUUUUAAAUUUCCUGAAAAAAAAUCUACACCAACAGGACUCAAGAGGACAAAAUCAUCAUCUGCUGUUCCUUCUAGUAAAUUCAGAAAAUUAGCAC